AUGCUGGACUUGUUGGCUGUCCCAAAUCCAGGUGAAGAGCUCUGCAGAAAUUACCUGAGGACUGAAUAUGGCACUUUUGCCAAAUUAGGAGGACUCGGCCAGGAGAUUGUGCCAUCCUGGGUGGAUGGAGGAUGGGGGAAAGGCACAAUGCUGUCCAUAACCAUUACUUACUGGGUAAGUAACUUACUGGGUAACUUCUGCUGCACCACACGGACCAAGGGGCUCUCGGCAGUGAGUUUGCGGCUGGAUGUGGUGCUGAUGUUGUGAGGCUGUGGGGUGCUGAGCCACAGGGAGGGCUGGGCAGUGCGGGAUGGUGGUUCCUGGUUCUCCAGUGCAGCCAGGGCAGUGACUCACCAUGUAGUGAGUCAUUGGAGCUAUUUCAGAGUGUGAUUUCAGAAGAACUACUUGGCUUUCAGGGUUUUCCAGUGGAGAACAAGUGUCUCCUUCCUGCAGGAAAGCUCCAAUCCAUUCUUCAUAGUUGUCUGAGCCUCCUUGAUCCAGGUGCCAGCAGGAGGACACGUAGUUUUAGGGUGAGAACUCACCGCUGUCAGCGGUGGUGGUACUUGAACAAAUGAUGUUCGUGGGCAAGUGAUGUGAGGCCAGAAGUCUGAAAACAUGAGUCUAAAUUAGUCAGACUGUACUGAGGCUACCUAUUUAUGUGUAUCAUUUCUGGAAAAUCUGUGUGUAUAAUCAAAUCCUAGAUUUACAGGUUGUGUGUCCUAUGUCAAUGCUGAGCUGCAGACGAGUCCUUGGAGCAACCAAACAAGAACUGCAAGCAAGGAGUGUAAUCAGAGUGAUUUUCCUCUUUCAGCAGGAGGAGGAGCUGGCCCUGCAUUACACUUAAAAUGGAGUUUGAUUCCGGGUGAUGGGUCAGUGGUGAUGAUAUUGCUCAGAUAAAUGCAGGAAAGGAAGGACUGCCCAUCUGAGCUGACCAUGUGGGAGACGUGAGGCCCGGCAGUGCCAGUGUUCAGGUAGGUGGGGCUGGCGGACUUCACCUGGCGCUCAUGAGACUGGGUCAAACGUGAUGGAUGCUUCACAUGGUAAGGUGGGGGCUUAUUGUCCACAAGCUGGGUUCAGGGAAAAACUUUCAUGUGAGGAGAAACUGAAGAGUCUGGUCCAGCUAAUAAGUGAGAUAAUUAAUAAAGGAAAUAUAAUAGUGUAUCA
rnacentral:lncRNA from 1 species